rnacentral:rRNA from 1 species
CCUACGGGUGGCAGCAGUGGGGAAUAUUGCACAAUGGGGGAAACCCUGAUGCAGCAACGCCGCGUGAGUGAUGACGGCCUUCGGGUCGUAAAGCUCUGUCUUCAGGGACGAUAAUGACGGUAAGUGAGGAGGAAGCCACGGCUCAAUACGUGCCAGCAGCCGCGGUAAUACGUAGGUGGCGAGCGUUUUGCAGAUUUACUGGUCGUGAAGGGAGCGUAGGCGGACUUUUAAGGGCGAUGUGAAAUACUCGUGGUUAACUUGAGUGCUGCAUUUCAAACUGGUAGUCUAGAGUGCAGGAGAGGAGAAUGGAAUUCCUAGUGUAGCGGUGAAAUGCGUAGAGAUUAGGAAGAACACCAGUGGCGAAGGCGAUUCUCUGGACUGUAACUGACGCUGAGGCUCGAAAGCGUGGGGAGCAAACAGGAUUAGAUACCCCUGUAGUC